CUCUGGGUGGUAUAAACGGUUAAUGUGCUUGGUUGUAAACCAAAAAGUUGGAGGUUCUCAUCCACCCAGAGA
rnacentral:tRNA from 1 species